rnacentral:lncRNA from 13 species
CCUGUCCCUUUUUGAUAGCCAGGCAUCGGCACACAUUUCAGCAAAUAAACGCCUGUUUCAAAUAAACGCUCCAUCUAAAUUAAUUGUUUACGAGGUUACCAUGUGAUGUGAUAUACUUUUUUUUUUUUUAUCUGUCAUGUUGCUUGCCAUGGCGCCACCAAGAAGAAAAUACGACAUCAAAUUCAAGCUAGCAGUGAUUAAAUUCACAGAGCAAAAUUCGGGCGAGGCAACAGCCAGGCAUUUUGGAAUUGAUCCAAAACGAGUGAGAGAAUGGCGAAGUCAAAAAGUCCAACUUCAACGUUUGUCUGAGGUGGAUCAGAAGAGGGCGAGACUGCAAGGUGGGGGGAGGAAAAAGACCUUAAAGUUAAAAAGAGAAGCUGCAAUAAAGGCAGAGAAGACCAUGUCUAAGAGCACAUACGAAGAAGAGGAAGAUGAGGAGGAGGAUGAGCAUCUCCCCAAGACUGAGAUGUCAAAGCAAGAUCCCAAUACUUCAGAGGUAGCCAUGACAGAUGGGACUGCAGAGCAGUUUGCGUUUCAGUAUGGACUGGAGGGAACAACAUUUAAGAAUGAGAAUGGGGAGUGUUCCAAGAGCCAUCUGUCCAUCAUCAAAGUGGAACAACUGGACCCCAUUCUCCCUGAACAAAACAACUCCAGCUGUGGUUCUGGGUCACCUGGGGAUCCUGGGCCUCCUGGCUCGUCUGGUUUUGGGUCCAGUAUGAGUCCAGCUGCACAGUUCUUCAGGAAGUGCCACCAGGCAGGCUGCACACAGUUCAUCUUCUCGGAGUUUGCCUCCCGCCUCAACACUAUCACUGAGAGGAUUUCAUCCCAGCAGGCCAGCGAAGAAGAUUUCAACCUCACCCUGAAAGUGCUGGAGGCCUCUGGGAUGCUGCCAGAGAUCUUUGCAAAGAGAGACCAAGAAAUGGAGAAGAGACUGAAGGAUCUGCAGAGAGAGACUGAAGCGGUGAGGACUGCCAGGUCUGCCAUGAGAGAUGCCUGUGUCAUGAGCUUCACCCCAUCAUGA